rnacentral:rRNA from 1 species
CAUUAAUGAAUUUUGAGUAUCAGUGCUGGUUCUUACAAGUGCACGUUCUCUAUUCUAUCUUCACCCCUGUGCACAUCAAGUAGGGCUCGAAAGAGCUCUAUGUUUUUACACACCCCAAUGUAUGUCAUUAGAAUGUAAUUUUAUCAAGUAUGCUCGCGAGGGCAGAAAGAAACAAAUACAACUUUCAACAACGGAUCUCUUGGCUCUCCCAUCGAUGAAGAACGCAGCGAAAUGCGAUAAGUAAUGUGAAUUGCAGAAUUCAGUGAAUCAUCGAAUCUUUGAACGCACCUUGCGCCCUUUGGUAUUCCGAAGGGCAUGCCUGUUUGAGUGUCAUUAAAUUCUCAACUGUGAUGGGUUUAUUCACAUCAUCAGCUUGGAUCUGAGGGCUUUGUCGGACUCUUCACAGAGGUCGACUCCCUUUAAAUUUAUUAGCGGAUUUUGCCAUCGUGGAUACGCUUCGAUUUGAUAAUAUCUAUGUCGUCGCGCUGAAGCGGUAAUCUGCUCCUAAUCGUCCUAGGACAAUUUUAUGACUAUUUG